rnacentral:rRNA from 1 species
GGGUUGUGAGGUUAAGCGACUAAGCGUACACGGUGGAUGCCCUGGCAGUCAGAGGCGAUGAAGGACGUGCUAAUCUGCGAUAAGCGCCGGUAAGGUGAUAUGAACCGUUAUAACCGGCGAUUUCCGAAUGGGGAAACCCAGUGUGAUUCGUCACACUAUCAUUAACUGAAUCCAUAGGUUAAUGAGGCGAACCGGGGGAACUGAAACAUCUAAGUACCCCGAGGAAAAGAAAUCAACCGAGAUUCCCCCAGUAGCGGCGAGCGAACGGGGAGGAGCCCAGAGCCUGAAUCAGCAUGUGUGUUAGUGGAAGCGUCUGGAAAGGCGCGCGAUACAGGGUGACAGCCCCGUACACAAAAGCGCAUGUGCUGUGAGCUCGAUGAGUAGGGCGGGACACGUGGUAUCCUGUCUGAAUAUGGGGGGACCAUCCUCCAAGGCUAAAUACUCCUGACUGACCGAUAGUGAACCAGUACCGUGAGGGAAAGGCGAAAAGAACCCCGGCGAGGGGAGUGAAAAAGAACCUGAAACCGUGUACGUACAAGCAGUGGGAGCACAGGUUUACCUGUGUGACUGCGUACCUUUUGUAUAAUGGGUCAGCGACUUAUAUUCUGUAGCAAGGUUAACCGUAUAGGGGAGCCGGAGGGAAACCGAGUCUUAACCGGGCGUUAAGUUGCAGGGUAUAGACCCGAAACCCGGUGAUCUAGCCAUGGGCAGGUUGAAGGUUGGGUAACACUAACUGGAGGACCGAACCGACUAAUGUUGAAAAAUUAGCGGAUGACCUGUGGCUGGGGGUGAAAGGCCAAUCAAACCGGGAGAUAGCUGGUUCUCCCCGAAAGCUAUUUAGGUAGCGCCUCGUGAAUUCAUCUCCGGGGGUAGAGCACUGUUUCGGCUAGGGGGCCAUCCCGGCUUACCAACCCGAUGCAAACUGCGAAUACCGGAGAAUGUUAUCACGGGAGACACACGGCGGGUGC